UGUGAGUAUAGCUCAGUGGUAAAGUACUUGCCUAGCAUGCAGGAGACCUUGGGUUCAAUCCCCAGUACCACAA